rnacentral:rRNA from 1 species
ACGCGAUGAACCUUACCAGGUCUUGACAUCCCAUUGACCGCUAUGGAGACAUAGCUUUCCCUUUUAGGGACAGUGGUGACAGGUGGUGCAUGGUUGUCGUCAGCUCGUGUCGUGAGAUGUUGGGUUAAGUCCCGCAACGAGCGCAACCCUUGUUCUUAGUUGCCAUCAUUUAGUUGGGCACUCUAAGGAGACUGCCGGUGACAAACCGGAGGAAGGUGGGGAUGACGUCAAAUCAUCAUGCCCCUUAUGACCUGGGCUACACACGUGCUACAAUGGACGGUACAAACGGUUGCCAACCCGCGAGGGGGAGCUAAUCCGAUAAAACCGUUCUCAGUUCGGAUUGUAGGCUGCAACUCGCCUACAUGAAGCCGGAAUCGCUAGUAAUCGCGGAUCAGCAUGCCGCGGUGAAUACGUUCCCGGGCCUUGCACUCACCGCCCGU